rnacentral:rRNA from 1 species
UUCCGGUUGAUCCCGCCGGACCUGACUGCUAUCGGAUUGAUACUAAGCCAUGCGAGUCAUUGUAGCAAUACAAGGCAGACGGCUCAGUAACGCGUAGUCAACCUAACCUAUGGACGGGAAUAACCUCGGGAAACUGAGAAUAAUGCCCGAUAGAACACUAUACCUGGAAUGGUUUGUGUUCCAAAUGAUUUAUCGCCAUAGGAUGGGACUGCGGCCUAUCAGUUUGUUGGUGAGGUAAUGGCCCACCAAGACUAUUACAGGUACGGGCUCUGAGAGGAGUAGCCCGGAGAUGGGUACUGAGACACGGACCCAGGCCCUAUGGGGCGCAGCAGGCGAGAAAACUUUGCAAUGUGCGAAAGCACGACAAGGUUAAUCCGAGUGAUUUGUGCUAAACGAAUCUUUUGUUAGUCCUAGAAACACUAACGAAUAAGGGGUGGGCAAGUUCUGGUGUCAGCCGCCGCGGUAAAACCAGCACCUCAAGUGGUCAGGAUGAUUAUUGGGCCUAAAGCAUCCGUAGCCGGCUCUGUAAGUUUUCGGUUAAAUCUGUACGCUCAACGUACAGGCUGCCGGGAAUACUGCAGAGCUAGGGAGUGGGAGAGGUAGACGGUACUCGGUAGGAAGGGGUAAAAUCCUUUGAUCUAUUGAUGACCACCUGUGGCGAAGGCGGUCUACCAGAACACGUCCGACGGUGAGGGCUGAAAGCUGGGGGAGCAAACCGGAUUAGAUACCCGGGUAGUCCCAGCUGUAAACUAUGCAAACUCAGUGAUGCAUUGACUUGUGGUCAAUGCAGUGCUGCAGGGAAGC